GCCUCCUCCGCCGCCGCCCCCGCCGCCUGGAGUUGCGCCGCAGCAAUGAGGCCGAGCGCCCGGAGGUGUGCGUGACGCUUUGUGCCAAAAUUCCAGUCGCCUUUCGAGGCUCGGCCCGUAAGCGGAGCGCCCGCCGCCGCUCCCCCUUGGCGCGUCCCCGAGGCGGCGCGA